UCAUCAUCACCAUCAUACGAAUUAGCCACUCAGGUUUAUUCGCUGAGGGGCUAUUGGACCUUUCAGCGGAAUAAAGUAAAAGUCAUUACCAAAACCCCCGAAAGAGUCCAUCUCUCUCGGGGGUUUUGUCGU
rfam:Thalassotalea sp. PP2-459 NODE_13_length_110801_cov_30.655210, whole genome shotgun sequence.